rnacentral:rRNA from 1 species
ACGAACGCUGGCGGCAUGCCUAACACAUGCAAGUCGAACGAGACCUUCGGGUCUAGUGGCGCACGGGUGCGUAACGCGUGGGAACCUGCCCUUAGGUUCGGAAUAACUCCCCGAAAGGGGUGCUAAUACCGGAUAAUGUCUUCGGACCAAAGAUUUAUCGACUUUGGAUGGGCCCGCGUUGGAUUAGCUAGUUGGUAGGGUAAAAGCCUACCAAGGCGACGAUCCAUAGCUGGUCUGAGAGGAUGAUCAGCCACACUGGGACUGAGACACGGCCCAGACUCCUACGGGAGGCAGCAGUGGGGAAUAUUGGACAAUGGGCGAAAGCCUGAUCCAGCAAUGCCGCGUGAGUGAUGAAGGCCUUAGGGUUGUAAAGCUCUUUUACCCGGGAUGAUAAUGACAGUACCGGGAGAAUAAGCUCCGGCUAACUCCGUG